CGAGCGCAUGAGUUGUGCUGGACCUGUGACUACCGGGAGGACCCCCGCUGUUGUGCGGCUGACUGCCGGUGCCAGUGUNCCCUUCAAUCGCUGGCNUAUUGUGUGCCUAUCGUUUUGACGAGUGCUUGUGUGCUGCUACCAGUUACACUGGAAGUUGCAUUGCUAAAUGUUGCUUUUGUCGUGCAUGCCCUUACGGCAUGUCACGUCAACUAUAAAGCGCUCAUGGCGUUGCCUCGUGUAGCUGGCCACAUAGGCUAGCGGCAUCAAGGCCACCUCAUGGACGCUAUUGGUCUCGGAUGCGGCUCACUCUANAAGGCUGAAGGUGCUUUGGCACGUCAUGCCUACAAAACAUAGUCCAANUUGGAAACUACGACAGUUGGCCUGGCUGAUGCCUCGUGUGGAAGCCAGUGCUUGCUCGUCGAUGAGGACGUGC
rnacentral:misc_RNA from 1 species